GCAUGGAAAGCAAGUGUGUCUGCGUGUUUGCAAGACAAAUAAAAUAUCAAAAUCAGCCUAUAUAGACUGGUGAAAUCGACCAGAUUUGUAUACUGUGUGAAAUGUGUCGGACCAUAAACAAAUAAGGAAAAGUUCCUGGUGAUACUCCUCUAUUUAUUACUUCCCGCUUGGACUAUUUGACAACAAUGUGGCCAGCACCAACAGCGACAACUCUCCGGCAAGUCACAUACAGAGAUGAAUAUGCAUAUUCUGUUAUAUUUCCUACAUGUCCGUUGCUUUUCUCUCGUUGUCAGCAAACACAUUGAACAUAUAUCGUAAGACUGUUAAAUUUUUGCCAUAUACAUUGUAUUUUUCGUUUCAAUGUGUCGACAACGAGAUGCUGAAAUCAUUUAUGUUGGUUUGACCAAACAAAAGCGAUCAAUUCUUUGCUUUGUUACCCCAUCGUGAUGCAAUGUAAACAUACAUUUGUUCUCCAACUUUCUGUGUCUCUGCGAUUUCGAUUUUUCUUUCUUUCUCUCUCUCGCACACAACAAGUUUGGUCCCCACAAAAUAACACUAAAAGGAGCCAAUCUUAUCCAAAACCAGUUAAUGAACCGAUUAUUACCAGCAUUACCCCGAAAAUAGUCGAACAUGGAAAGUGCAUUUUCAUUUAUACGAUCGUUAUGGUAUGAGGGCUGUGGCAAUGUAAACAUAAGAUGAAAUUUUGAAAUUGAAUCCGAAUGUGGAGCAACACCACACUGCUACUAAACGUGCUAAUGAGAACAUUUUGAGGUUUCUACGUUCCUUGCAUCGAGACGCACCACUUUCACACCCAUGGUAUUGGUGGUGUGAUGGAUGAUGCCAAUUAAAAAUUUUCCUCAACCGAUGAAUGGCCAAAACGGUGUGCGGUAGCUGCAACGACAACAAAUGAAAACGGCCAUAUAUGCUCGAUGGUAUGGUUUUGUGCCACUCGGUGCUAAUGACAGUGGGGGCCAACAGUGAUUAUGAGAAAUGAUGAAUAAGAAAACGGUCCAUUAGGGUAUUUGCUUCAACCAAAUGUAGAAUAAAUCUAUUUUUCAUUCAAUAUUCAGUUUGAUUUUAUGGAUAAAGGAAGGAAUCGCAUUACCAGCAAACCAUACACAAGAAACAAAGAUCUUGAUCCAACAUGUUAUAAUAUAUGGAUUACAAAUGCUGGUCGAUUUUAAUACUUUUACCAUUUUGCAUUCACAAUUGUUUACUUUGCAUUGAAUAAAUAUCAAUGUUUCAAUUGACCUGGGACUCUCACUUCGAUUACUCUUGUGGUAGCAACUAUUAAAAAUGGAAUCGCUCCUUCUAUUCUGCCAUUAACUCAUUAGUUUAUUCAACCAAAUCGCUCAUGUGUGCUGUUGCCUUCAUUCAUUACAAUCAGCGCUUCCGAACGGCGCUUGAAUAUAUUGCGCCGCAAUACAACAAUUUU